rnacentral:lncRNA from 1 species
UCAGGGAAUGAUGGAGCCGCACGGAAUCCAUCGCAGGAAGUGGAGCAGAGUCGUGGUGGUUGCUGUGUCGCGCCAGGGAGUGCAGAUCCGUCGGCUGAAGUUCGGCAGCGGUCGGAGUUGGUGACGGAGCCUGGCUCCCGUAGGAGUCCGGGCGGAGUCCUCCUUGCGAUUGAAGUCGUGGGCGGAGCCCGGCUCCCGUAGG